rnacentral:tRNA from 1 species
UGGCGGGUUGUGUAACGGUAGCACAGCAGCUUUUGGAGCUGUUUGUCGGGGUUCGAAUCCCUGCCCGCCAGCCA